UCUUUGUCUACCUAAAACUCACUAUAUCGCUGUUCCUCCCCGCGUUUUCGAUGAAAGUCCUCAAUUGAAGUGAACAAAAGCUUGAAAUCCCGAAUCCCAACACAGAGAAAGAAGUGGGCAAUAAAUGAAUUAUGACAUAUAAGGAGUACACAAGGAGGCAAGGCUGUAGCUGUUGGGUACAGCCGCCCAUUCUCAAUUACUGGUUAAAGGGUUAUAUUUUAAGAAAUUU
rnacentral:misc_RNA from 1 species